rnacentral:tRNA from 1 species
GGGAUAAUAGCUUAAUUGGAAGAGUUUUUGGCUCUUAACCAAAAAGUUCCGGGUUCGAUUCCUGGUCUAGGCUUCCCG